AGGAAAGCUGCACGCGUGUUGGUCGUUGACGCCUGACUGUUAAUAUAAAAACAGUUUUGCUGUGGCUUUAUGUACUUUCGUUUGCUUAAUUAAUUAUUUUUUUAUUAACAGAAUUGUUAUAUACCAUUAAUAUCACAUUUGUAAUUCUACUUCGGACAAAAACAGCCUUUGAUGAACUGCUAUGCUUGCCUUCAUGUGAUGCUAACGUUACCUUUAGGCAUAUAGUACAUUCACUGACACGCGGAGAUCAGACAUAUUUUAUUUAGUAUUAAAUUCUCCAGUUUACUCCUCGUCUGACUUCAGAAAAACAACACCGCCUCGUUAUCACAGCAGGUUAUGUGUGAUAUAAUUUAUGUAUGAUUACUUUUAGCUAUUAUACUGCUAUUGUACUUAUUUUCUUUUUCCUUUUGACUGCAGAUUGUUCUGUUCUAGAUCUGACCACAGCAUCACAAACUUUCACAGCAGAACAACUGGAUUUCGCUUACAUCAAAGAUGUUUUUGUCUGCGUCACGGGUUGGUGUUUCCAUUACCUUACACCCAGAACACCAGAGGAACCACCCUACCUUACGAGCCAGGCCUUUGAUUGAUGUGCCUCAGCCUAUAG
rnacentral:lncRNA from 1 species